UUCUGGUUGAUCCUGCCGGAGGCGACCGCUAUUGGAGUUCGAUUAAGCCAUGCGAGUCGAGAGUCUUAGGGACUCGGCGCACUGCUCAGUAACACGUGGAUAAUCUGACCUACGCUCGAGGAUAAUCUCGGGAAACUGAGUUCAAUACUCGAUAGAUCACAUGUCCUGGAAUGGCUUGUGGUUGAAAGGUAACGGCGUAGGAUGAGUCUGCGGCGUAUCAGGUCGUAGUGGGUGUAAUGGACCCACUAGCCCUCGACGCGUACGGGUUGUGAGAGCAAUUGCCCGGAGAUGGAUUCUGAGACACGAAUCCAGGCCCUACGGGGCGCAGCAGGCGCGAAAACUUCACACUGCAGGAAACUGUGAUGAGGGAACUCCAAGUGGCAGCACUAAGUGCUGUCUUUUCUGGACUCUUAAACGGUCUAGGAAGAAGGGCUGGGUAAGACCGGUGCCAGCCGCCGCGGUAAUACCGGCAGCUCAAGUGGUCGCCGCUUUUAUUGGGCCUAAAACGUCCGUAGCCGGCUUGGUAAACCCGUGGGUAAAUCAACCAGCUCAACUGGUUGAAUUCCGCGGAGACUGCCUGGCUUGGGACCGGGAGAGGCGUGAGGUACUCUCGGGGUAGGGGUAAAAUCCUGUCAUCCCGAGAGGACCACCUGUGGCGAAGGCGUCACGCUAGAACGGAUCCGACGGUCAGGGACGAAGCCUAGGGGCACGAACCGGAUUAGAUACCCGGGUAGUCCUAGGUGUAAACGCUGUGGACUUGGUGUUGGAAACCCCACGAGGGUCUUCAGUGCCGUAGCGAAGGUGAUUAGUCCACUGCCUGGGGAGUACGGUCGCAAGGCUGAAACUUAAAGGAAUUGGCGGGGGAGCACUGCAACGGGAGGAGCGUGCGGUUUAAUUGGACUCAACGCCGGAA
rnacentral:rRNA from 1 species